rnacentral:lncRNA from 1 species
UCUUCAGCUUCCCCAUCUCACCUCACUCCUGGGACAUGGACUCAUUCUCUGUAGGAUCUGCAGUAGGAAGACUGUCCAAGUGUUUGAGGGGAAGUGGCAUUUCCGAGGAAGCCCUUCAAAACAGAGACAGGAGCCAAGAUAAGGACCCGGAUAAAUGACGACUGGGGAGAGCAUCACCCAGUCAUAUAGGGUGUCAGGCAAAGACUUCCCCUCACCUGCUCUUAGAUCUACAGGGCCAGGCUGACUGUUGCAAGGAAGGCCUCAAGGAGGUAAGGGCCUAGUUGUAGGGGCAGCAGCAGAGAGAAGUUCCCAAUGUCCUAAGAAGAGCGUAAUUGAGAAUCAUGCGUGAAACUGAGGUGACUCUCCACCCCGGAACAGAGGGGGCGCCAGAGAUCCUGCCCUUGCCAUCAGCCUUGGGAGGGCCCCUCCUUGGUGAGGCAAAGAGUAGCGCUCACUUCCUCCUCCGGCCCGUCUCUCCCGGAAGGUGAGAGACUGCCUCAGGCGGACUGCUUCAGGCGGACCGCCUCAGGCGGACUGCCUCAGGGCAAGCGAGGGAGGAGUCCUAGGCUCCAGCAGGAGUCCAGGAGAGAAGAGAAGUUUGGCGUGAGGGUGCAGCCACCAGCCAGCAGAAGGGAGGUGUAUCAGGCACUACCUGGAGACCAGGUGCUUUCAUCUUCUUCCAUCCUCCUGCCUGCUG